GUAUAGAACCUACCUUUUACUGGAGAAUAGCCCAGAGAAAUUUGGAUUAAUGCUCCAUAGUAUCAUUUUUUGGCAUCCUUAGAUGAUUAAAGAUUUAUCGGUAAAAGAUGGCUAUGCGUUCUAUUAGCUAGUUGGUAUGGUAACGGCAUACCAAGGCGACGAUAGAUAGGGGUCCUGAGAGGGAGAUCCCCCACACUGGUACUGAGACACGGACCAGACUCCUACGGGAGGCAGCAGUGAGGAAUAUUGGACAAUGGAGGCAACUCUGAUCCAGCCAUGCCGCGUGUAGGAAGACUGCCCUAUGGGUUGUAAACUACUUUUAUAGAGGAAGAAACCGCUCUACGUGUAGAGCUCUGACGGUACUCUACGAAUAAGGAUCGGCUAACUCCGUGCCAGCAGCCGCGGUAAUACGGAGGAUCCAAGCGUUAUCCGGAAUCAUUGGGUUUAAAGGGUCCGUAGCGGGUUUGUAAGUCAGUGGUGAAAGUUUUCGGCUCAACCGGAAAAUUGCCAUUGAUACUGCAAGUCUUGAAUCGUUGUGAAGUGGUUAGAAUGUGU
rnacentral:rRNA from 1 species